rnacentral:rRNA from 1 species
GCUGUGUGCCUAAUACAUGCAUGUCGAACGAAGCACUUGUGCUUAGUGGCGAAUGGGUGAGUAACACGUACUUAAUCUACCCUCAAGUUUGGGACAACAUUUGGAAACGGAUGCUAAUACCAAAUAUUUAUUACUUUCGCAUGGAAGAAAUAUAAAAGGAGCGUUUGCUCCGCUUAAGGAUGAGAGUGCGUUGCAUUAGUUAGUUGGUAGGGUAAAGGCCUACCAAGACGAUGAUGCAUAGCGGGGUCGAGAGGCUGAACCGCCACACUGGGACUGAGAUACGGCCCAGACUCCUACGGGAGGCAGCAGUAGGGAAUUUUCCACAAUGAACGAAAGUUUGAUGGAGCGACACAGCGUGCAGGAUGAAGGUCUUCGGAUCGUAAACUGCUGUUAUAAGAGAAGAACAAGCUUGAUAGGAAAUGAUCAAGCCCUGACGGUAUCUUAUCAGAAAGCACCGGCAAACUAUGUGCCAGCAGCCGCGGUAAUACAUAGGGUGCAAGCGUUAUCCGGAAUUAUUGGGCGUAAAGCGUUCGUAGGCGGUUUAUUAAGUCUAGAGUUAAAUACUGGGGCUCAACCCCAGCACGCUCUGGAUACUGGUAGACUAGAGUUAUAGAGAGAUUAGCGGAACUCCAUGUGAAGCGGUGGAAUGCGUAGAUAUAUGGAAGAACACCAAUAGCGAAGGCAGCUAAUUGGCUAUACACUGACGCUGAGGAACGAAAGCACAGCUAACGCGUUAAACGAUCCGCCUGAGUAGUAUGCUCGCAAGAGUGAAACUUAAAGGAAUUGACGGGGGCCCGCACAAGCGGUGGAGCAUGUGGUUUAAUUUGAAGAUACGCGGAGAACCUUACCCACUUUUGACAUCUUCUGCAAAACUAUAGAGAUAUAGCGGAGGUUAACAGAAUGACAGAUGGUGCAUGGUUGUCGUCAGCUCGUGUCGUGAGAUGUUAGGUUAAGUCCUGCAACGAGCGCAACCCCUAUCAUUAGUUACUAAUAUUAAGUUAAGGACUCUAAUGAGACUGCCUGGGUAACCAGGAGGAAGGUGGGGACGACGUCAAAUCAUCAUGCCUCUUACAAGUGGGGCUACACACGUGCUACAAUGGGCAGUACAGAAUGAUGCAACAUGGCAACAUUUAGCAAAACACAAAAACUGCUCUCAGUUCGGAUUGGAGUCUGCAACUCGACUCCAUGAAGUUGGAAUCGCUAGUAAUCGUAGGUCAGCAAUACUACGGUGAAUACGUUCUCGGGUCUUGUACACACCGCCCGUCACACCACGGGAGCCGAUAAUGCCCGAAGCCGGUUGGUUAACCACAAUUCGUUGGGAUGCUGCUGUCUAAGGCAGGAUUGGUAA